UUCCGNAGGUGANCCUGCGGAAGGAUCAUUAUUGAAUGAAACUUCUGGCUUGGAUGUUGUUGUGCUGGCCCUCUGGGGCAAUGUGCACACCUCUGGCCAUUUGUUUCUUCUGUUCCACCUGUGCACUGCCUGUAGACACUUUGUGUCUAUGAUAUGUUACACACACACACAUAUACAGUUGGUUGGGCAYAUUACAAUAUAUAUAAAAUAAAAUACAACUUUCAACAAUGGAUCUCUUGGCUCUCGCAUCGAUGAAGAACACAGCGAAAUGUGAUAAGUAAUGUGAAUUGCAGAAUCCAGUGAAUCAUCGAAUCUUUGAACGCAUCUUGCGCUCCUUGGCAUUCCAAGGAGCAUGCCUGUUUGAGUGUCGUUAAACUAUCAAAACACUUUUCUUGGGUGUUUUGGACUUUGGGAGUAUCUUGCUGGUCUGUCUGAGCCAGCUCUCCUCAAAAGCAUUAGCUUUGAAGACCAUCAGUGUGAUAAUUUGUUUACACUGACUUGAGUGUCUCAGCUUCUCCUUUUAAAUGCCUUUUUGACCUCAAAUCAGGUAGGACUACCCGCUGAACUUAAGCAUAUCAAUAAGCGGAGGAAAAGAAACUAACAAGGAUUCCCCUAGUAACUGCGAGUGAAGCGGGAAAAGCUCAAAUUUGAAAUCUGGCAGUCUUUUUUUUCUUCUUUGGCUGUCCGAGUUGUAAUCUANAGAAGUGCUUACCUGCGCUGGACCGUGUACAAGUC
rnacentral:rRNA from 1 species